ACGCUCGACACCUACGGGAGCAGCAGUGGGGAAUAUUGCACAAUGGGGGAAACCCUGAUGCAGCAACGCCGCGUGAAGGAAGACGGUUUUCGGAUUGUAAACUUCUGUUCUUAGUGAAGAUAGUGACGGUAGCUAAGGAGCAAGCCACGGCUAACUACGUGCAAGCAGCCGCGGUAAUCUGAGCGGGCUGGCAAGGC
rnacentral:rRNA from 1 species